AGAGCGAACGCUGGCGGCAUGCUUAACACAUGCAAGUCGCACGGGCAGGGGUAACUCUGUCAGUGGCGGACGGGUGAGUAACGCGUAGGUAUCUAUCCUCGGGUGGGGGACAACCACGGGAAACUGUGGCUAAUACCGCAUGAUGACUGAGGUCCAAAGGCGCAAGUCGCCUGGGGAGGAGCCUGCGUCCGAUUAGCUUGUUGGUGGGGUAAAGGCCUACCAAGGCUCCGAUCGGUAGCUGGUCUGAGAGGAUGAUCAGCCACACUGGGACUGAGACACUGCCCAGACUCCUACGGGGGGCUGCAGUAACGAAUCUUCCGCAAUGCACGAAAGUGUGACGGAGCGACGCCGCGUGGAGGACGAAGUUCUUCGGAAUGUAAACUCCUGUCAGAGGAAAGAAAGUUCUGAUCUACCUCAGAGGAAGAGGCGGCUAACUCUGUGCCAGCAGCCGC
rnacentral:rRNA from 1 species